rnacentral:rRNA from 1 species
GACAGAGGGUGCGAACGUUGUUCGGAAUUACUGGGCGUAAAGCGAGUGUAGGCGGUUUGGUAAGUCGGAUGUGAAAGCCCCGGGCUCAACCCGGGAAGUGCACUCGAUACUGCCAAGCUAGAGUAUCGGAGAGGUUCGUGGAAUUCUCGGUGUAGAGGUGAAAUUCGUAGAUAUCGAGAGGAACACCGGCGGCGAAGGCGGCGAACUGGACGAAUACUGACGCUGAGACUCGAAAGCGUGGGGAGCAAACAGG